CCUACGGGUGGCAGCAGUGAGGAAUAUUGGACAAUGGGCUUACGCCUGAUCCAGCCAAGCCGCGUGAGGGAAGACUGCCCUAUGGGUUGUAAACCUCUUUUGUCAGGGAGCAACGCCGGCUACGUGUAGCCGGACUGAGAGUACCUGAAGAAAAAGCAUCGGCUAACUCCGUGCCAGCAGCCGCGGUAAUACGGAGGAUGCGAGCGUUAUCCGAAUUUAUGGGGUGAAAGGGGUGCGUAGGCGGAAUGCCAAGUCAGCGGUAAAAGCGCGGGGCUCAACCUCGCUCCGCCGUUGAAACUGGCGGUCUUGAGUGGGCGAGAGGUAUGCGGAAUGCGUGGUGUAGCGGUGAAAUGCAUAGAUAUCACGAAGAACUCCGAUUGCGAAGGCAGCAUACCGGCGCCCAACUGACGCUGAAGCACGAAAGCGUGGGUAGCGAACAGGAUUAGAUACCCGAGUAGUC
rnacentral:rRNA from 1 species